UACGGAGGGUGCGAGCGUUAUUCGGAAUCACUGGGCGUAAAGGGCGCGUAGGCGGACUGGUAAGUCAGGGGUGAAAUCCCACGGCUCAACCGUGGAAUUGCCUUUGAAACUGCUGGGCUUGGAUCCUGGAGAGGGUGGCGGAAUUCCUGGUGUAGGAGUGAAAUCCGUAGAUAUCAGGAGGAACACCGGUGGCGAAGGCGGCCACCUGGACAGGUAUCGACGCUGAGGCGCGAAAGUGUGGGGAGCAAACAGG
rnacentral:rRNA from 1 species